GACCGCAGCUGAAUGCACAGCUAGAAGGUUGGCUUUCACAAGUACAGUCUACAAAAAGACCUGCUAGAGCCAUUAUUGCCCCCCAUAAGGAUGAGUUUACCAUUAUUCCUGUACUGGUUGGAGCUCUGAGUGAGUCAAAAGAACAGGAAUUCGGAAAACUCUUCAGUAAAUAUCUAGCGGAUCCUAGUAAUCUCUUUGUGGUUUCUUCUGAUUUCUGCCAUUGGGGGUAUGAGUAUUAUAGAACAAUUAGACCCUGUAUCUUUUAGCAAUUACUUGAAGAAAUACCAUAAUACUAUAUGUGGAAGACAUCCCAUUGGGGUGUUAUUA
rnacentral:sRNA from 2 species